rnacentral:rRNA from 1 species
GACGAACGCUGGCGGCGUGCCUAAUACAUGCAAGUAGGACGCAGUUGCGAACGGGUGAGUAACGCGUAGGCAACUACCUAUUAGUGGGGGAUAACUAUUGGAAACGAUAGCUAAUACUGCAUUCUAGUAGAUUGACCUGUGCUGUAUUAGCUAGUAGGUAGGGUAAUGGCCUACCUAGGCAACGAUACAUAGGCGACCUGGGAGGGUGGUCAGGCACACUGGGACUGGGGCAAGGCCCAGUCUCAUUCGGGAGGGAGCAGGAGGGAAUCUGCGGCAAUGGGGGGAACGCUGUCCGAGCAACGCCACGUGAGUGAAGAAGGUUUUCGGGGCGGAAAGCUCUGUUGUUGAGGAAGCGGUACUUAACGAGAAAGGGACGGCUAACUACGUGCCAGCGGCCGCGGUAAUAC